rnacentral:piRNA from 1 species
UAUAAGCUCAGGAUAUCUGCCUUUGAAUUC